rnacentral:lncRNA from 1 species
UCAGAUCUAGUUCUUUCUCUUCUUCCGUUCUUUGAAUUUGUAGCCUGCAAAACUUCUCCAAAUCCAAAUCUUGAUGAAUAUAAAAUAUAAAAUAAAUAAGUAAUUAAUUAACUUAACAAAUAAAAAAUAUAAAAAUAUAGUUAAAAAUGAAAAAGAAAACUGAGGUUGAUUCUGGACUCUUCCCUAACGUCAACAGCAAUAGCAAUAUAGGAGGCGAGCUACUUA